UCUGGCGGUAAUAGCGCGGUGGUCCCACCUGACCCCAUGCCGAACUCAGAAGUGAAACGCCGUAGUGCCGAUGGUAGUGU
rnacentral:rRNA from 1 species